GAUGAACGCUAGCGGCAGGCCUAACACAUGCAAGUCGAGGGGCAUCAUGGCGUAGCAAUACGCUGAUGGCGACCGGCGCACGGGUGCGUAACGCGUAUGGAACCUACCCACCGCAGGGGGAUAACCCGCCGAAAGGCGGACUAAUACCCCAUGGUUCCCCGACCCUGCCUGGGGUUGGGGGUAAAGCCUACGGGCGGCGGUGGAUGGCCCUGCGUGCCAUUAGCUGGUUGGUAAGGUAACGGCUUACCAAGGCUAUGAUGUUUAGGGGUCCUGAGAGGGUGGUCCCCCACACUGGUACUGAGACACGGACCAGACUCCUACGGGAGGCAGCAGUGAGGAAUAUUGGUCAAUGGGCGCAAGCCUGAACCAGCCAUCCCGCGUGCAGGAAGACGGCCCUAUGGGUUGUAAACUGCUUUUCCAGGGAGAGAAACUUACGCACGUGUUGCGUGACUGACGGUACCCUGGGAAUAAGCAUCGGCUAACUCCGUG
rnacentral:rRNA from 1 species